UGAACAUUUUAAUUAACGCCGCAGGCGGUGCCGCGCACCGAAACAGGCCCUGUCGGGCCGGAGGGGCUCGAACUGGGCCCCAGCUUACCCUCGGCUCCUCGCAAUCCACAAGUCUCCAGUUUUUGAAGUCAGAACUUGUACUCUGAAACCCAUCUCUUCUUAUGCCACAGGAAAUCCUCCAUUUGAAUACCCUCUCUGUUAGGAAGCUCUGGCUAAAGUUACAAACCUCUUCAUCCUCAGAGUACAAUAUACAGGACAAAAGGAAGUUAUCAAUAAAUCAACUAUCCUUCAAGACAAAAAAAGUUAUGGUUCAAAACCAGAAAACUCUGUGCAUACCAUGCUGUGAUCCACACGGAA